ACCCUUUAAUGUUUGAUGUUCUAACGUGGACCCGUGAUCCGGGUUGCGGACAGUGUCUGGUGGGUAGUUUGACUGGGGCGGUCUCCUCCUAAAGAGUAACGGAGGAGCACGAAGGUUGGCUAAUCCUGGUCGGACAUCAGGAGGUUAGUGCAAUGGCAUAAGCCAGCUUGACUGCGAGCGUGACGGCGCGAGCAGGUGCGAAAGCAGGUCAUAGUGAUCCGGUGGUUCUGAAUGGAAGGGCCAUCGCUCAACGGAUAAAAGGUACUCCGGGGAUAACAGGCUGAUACCGCCCAAGAGUUCAUAUCGACGGCGGUGUUUGGCACCUCGAUGUCGGCUCAUCACAUCCUGGGGCUGAAGUAGGUCCCAAGGGUAUGGCUGUUCGCCAUUUAAAGUGGUACGCGAGCUGGGUUUAGAACGUCGUGAGACAGUUCGGUCCCUAUCUGCCGUGGGCGCUGGAGAACUGAGGGGGGCUGCUCCUAGUACGAGAGGACCGGAGUGGACGCAUCACUGGUGUUCGGGUUGUCAUGCCAAUGGCACUGCCCGGUAGCUAAAUGCGGAAGAGAUAAGUGCUGAAAGCAUCUAAGCACGAAACUUGCCCCGAGAUGAGUUCUCCCUGAGACUUAAAGUCUCCUGAAGGAA
rnacentral:rRNA from 1 species